UGGGGAAUUGAGAUAACAGUAAAAUAUUGGUGUUGAAGAACUCGGGCUACAACAGUCUUUUUUUUUAGCUUACUUGCGAUGUAAAAAAAACAUCAAAUUUGACGGAAGAUUGUACACCAACAAAAGUGGGUGGUGAUUGCUUGGUGCUAACAUUGUUUGAGUAGCGUCGUUUGAAUUAAUUCUAAGCAACGGGGCUCCGAACAAAUCAAGGUUUUCAGCAUGAAUUUAUCAAAGUCUGCCGCGAGGAAUCACAAAGUAUUGCAGUGGCCCAGACAUGCAGCUAGUAAAGCCUAGUCUCAGCAAAAUCCCUCGCAGCAAUAAGACGCACACAGCUCUGCUGAAAGACAGGACUGUGUACCGUGUAGCGCUCUCCGCUCCAUCCGAGACAUCUUCUGUCUGUGGCCAGGGUUUGAUAGGCUGCUCGCCAAUUCGCGUGACCCACCCGUCACCAACGCAGGCAACUGUUGAAGGGGCGAAAAUGCUCAGGGGUUGAAGCUUGAUAUCAAAGGGAAGCCAUACCAUUUCCUAACCAGGAUUCCUACAUAAACCUGGGGCAAGAUGGACAAAAAGAAUGAAUCACCUUCACCACAGAGGCAGAAUGUCAAGAGUCGCUCAAAAUCCACCGAUGAGAUUGUGCAAGCAAAGAAGGCUUUCCACACACCUCAGAUAUCUCUUCCUGGCAGACAAGAACUGGAAAACCUGAAGGAAGCUACUGAAAGUGAAGAACUUCUUAUCUCUCCAGAAGAUGAUGAAACAUUGGUUGAGCAGAUUAAAAAUUGACCUGAGUUCCUCAAUGUCGUUGACAAAUACUUAUUCUUUGUUCGACUAAGGGGAUUUGGGCUGUAGGGAUGAAUAGCGAAACAAAGUUCCCAUUGAGCAAGCUGCUAAAAAUGCAGUUCCCAUAACUUAAUGUUUACUUGUUAUAAUGUACUGUGUCAGUAACCAUGGCCAUUAUUGAUUGUGUUGUCAGUGUGUGGCCAAUGUUUCCAUCAUCCUGUCUUGUAGCUGUAUGCAGAAAUUAAAGAUGUAUUUUGGUGGGUGAUGCUACAGAAUCCUCACAAGCUGUUCAACUGCGCUAUAAAGCUGCUGUGUGAAUGGGGAAGCAUGCUUGAAUUUAUGUGCCACAAUUAUCAUCCAUUCAUCCAGCCCUUUCACAGGCAAUGGAAGAAUCAGCAACACUGUCUAUCACUUCACAAAUCAAGGGAGCACUUUUUAACUAUGCCUGCCCUAUAGCAAGUCUUGCAUGCUGUAAACAAGGCUUGGAAAUCAUAGGACCACUGCCUCUGAAUUUAAUUUAAAUGGUGAGAAAAUUGUGCACAGUGCCAUCCUGAAAUGGCCUCCCAAUAACUAAAUGUCUCCUCCAGAAAAAAAUACCCCAGAAACAUUUGCAGAUAAAAACAGGCUUAAUCAUUGAAUUUUAUGUUAAUUCUCUGGUUUACCUUAAUUCAACAAUUUCUGCCUGAGAUUUUGUGGAAACAUAACCUUAACUACUUUAUGCUUUAUGUUAUUUUUUUCAUGUGGAGCUUGAGUCUGCAUUUAUUUCUGGUCCUGUGCCCUUCUAUGCCUCAGGUUUGCUGUAUUGAAUGGGUGAAGUCCACCAGGAGAAUGAUUGAUGCUUCUAUUAGCUUUGACAUUAAAAUAAAUAUAUAAAUCUCAUGCUUUAUCUGCAUCUAAAAUACAAUCCUUUGUUGAUGUCGUGCAGCAAUGGAUUCAAGAAAAUCACAAUGUUUUGGUCUGCUGCUUCUUCUGUGCCUGUGCCAUGGGAAUAAAAAAAUAUUUUAAGUGGCA